UUUUUGUCAAUACUUCUGGCAAUCAGACUUCCUGUAGGCUGUUCCUGCUAUGUUGUAGUUAUUCACACAUGCUCACUCUGGCCUCUCUAGGAUAUGCCUAUGAAAAACAGCAACAUUCUGUUCUUCUCCCGUUCCUCAAUGACCAGCAUUGCAAACACCCAGUGAACUUCAGAAGGGUGCAGCCCAAAGACGCUGAACACAACACUGAAUGGCUCUGAGGACGAAGUUUAUGACAAUCUUCAUCAUGUUUAUUAACUGACAAGACUGCUCAGGACAUCUGCUCCCUCAGCAGACUCCAGGCUCAAAAUGUAGUAUUUAAUGUCAUGUGCCUUCAUCAAGGCUUUCUGAUCUGGUUAUCUCCUAUUCCCUUAGCUUUGGAUUGCGUUGUUGUUAUUAUUGCUCCACCUUUUUGUGGAACCUAAGGAGUCUUACUAAUAAGCUUAGAGGUAGCACUUGGCCACUUACCCAUUAGAAAUGAGUUUUCCAGACAUGGGGAUUUUGUCUCUGAUGGAAAUCCCUGUGAGCUUUCGGAAUGGCAGGCGAGUAUAAAAGUUCAUCACUCUAUCAUUCAGCACAACUGCACAGAGGGAAAACAAAUAAAAAUUAUUAUACUUUUG
rnacentral:lncRNA from 1 species